rnacentral:rRNA from 1 species
UCUGGUUGAUCCUGCCUGAACUGAUGUGUUUAUUUCAAAGAUUAAGCCAUGCAUGUAUAAGUUUAAUCGUUUAUCGAGAAACCGCGAACGGCUCAUUACAAUGGCCAUGAUUUACUUGAUCUUGAUUAUCUAAAUGGAUAACUGUGGAAAAGCUAGAGCUAAUACAUGCACCAAAGCUUUGUCCUCUCGGAAAAGCGCAUUUAUUAGAACAAAACCACGCGGCUUCGGCUGCUUCUUGUUGACUCAGAAUAACUAAGCUGACCGCAUGGCCUUGUGCCGGCGGCGUGUCUUUCAAGCGUCCACUUUAUCAACUUGACGGGAGCAUAAUCGACUCCCGUGGUGGUGACGGAUAACGGAGGAUCAGGGUUCGACUCCGGAGAAGGGGCCUGAGAAAUGGCCACUACGUCUAAGGAUGGCAGCAGGCGCGCAAAUUACCCACUCUCGGCUCGAGGAGGUAGUGACGAGAAAUAACGAGACUGUUCUCUUUGAGGCCGGUCAUCGGAAUGGGUACAAUUUAAACCCUUUAACGAGUAUCAAGCAGAGGGCAAGUCUGGUGCCAGCAGCCGCGGUAAUUCCAGCUCUGCUAAUACAUAGAAUUAUUGCUGCGGUUAAAAAGCUCGUAGUUGGAUUCGUAUCGGUAUCCUGGAACCCUCCGGGUGUUUCUGGGUGUUAUCGAUUUAUCGUAAUGUUCGGUUUUGAGUCCUUAACAGGAUUCUUAACAGGCAUUGCAAGUUUACUUUGAACAAAUCAGAGUGCUUCAAACAGGCGUUUUCGCUUGAAUGAUCGUGCAUGGAAUAAUAGAAAACGAUUUCGGUUCAGUUUUAUUGGUUUUACGGACUGAGAUAAUGGUUAACAGAGACAAACGGGGGCAUUUGUAUGGCCCCGUGAGAGGUGAAAUUCUUGGACCGUGGCCAGACAAACUACAGCGAAAGCAUUUGCCAAGAAUGUUUUUAUUAAUCAAGAACGAAAGUCAGAGGUUCGAAGGCGAUCAGAUACCGCCCUAGUUCUGACCGUAAACGAUGCCAACUAGCGAUCCGCCGAUGGAAAUUAUAUUGCCUUGGUGGGGAGCUUCCCGGAAACGAAAGUCUUCCGGUUCCGGGGGAAGUAUGGUUGCAAAGCUGAAACUUAAAGGAAUUGACGGAAGGGCACCACCAGGAGUGGAGCCUGCGGCUUAAUUUGACUCAACACGGGGAAACUCACCCGGCCCGGACACUGUGAGGAUUGACAGAUUGAUAGCUUUUUCAUGAUUCAGUGGAUGGUGGUGCUUUUUCAUGAUUCAGCUUUUUCAUGAUUCAGUGGAUGGUGGUGCUGAUUCAGUGGAUGACGGGCUUGGCAAAUUUAGCGGGGAAAGAAGACCCUGUUGAGCUUGACUCUAGUCUGACUUUGUGAAGAAUCAUGAGAGGUGUAGCAUAAGUGGGAGUCGCAAGACAACAGUGAAAUACCACUACUUUCAUCGAUUCCUUACUUAAUCGGUAAAACGGGAGUUG